GAUGAACGCUGGCGGCGUGCCUAACACAUGCAAGUCGAGCGAUCUUCUUCGGAAGAGAGCGGCGGACGGGUGAGUAACGCGUGGGUAACCUGCCCUGUACACACGGAUAACAUACCGAAAGGUAUGCUAAUACGAGAUAAUAUGCUUUUAUCGCAUGGUAGAAGUAUCAAAGCUCCGGCGGUACAGGAUGGACCCACGUCUGAUUAGCUAGUUGGUAAGGUAACGGCUUACCAAGGCGACGAUCAGUAGCCGACCUGAGAGGGUGAUCGGCCACAUUGGAACUGAGACACGGUCCAAACUCCUACGGGAGGCAGCAGUGGGGAAUAUUGCACAAUGGGCGAAAGCCUGAUGCAGCAACGCCGCGUGAGCGAUGAAGGCCUUCGGGUCGUAAAGCUCUGUCCUCAAGGAAGAUAAUGACGGUACUUGAGGAGGAAGCCCCGGCUAACUACAUGCCAGCAGCCGCGGUAA
rnacentral:rRNA from 1 species